CCGCACGCGGUUUUUUCACGGUCUUGUACGCCCUUCUUAUGCCCACGAUCGAUCUGUCUGAAGCCCACCCACGUCCGUCUCUCCCACUUCCCUACGUCUUCCUAGCCGCAGCCGCCGUCCAGGCCGAAGCCGCCGAUCUCCUCUCCCACUUCCUCUCUCUCCCCGUUCCUUCAAAACUAUCAGAUCUUCCACUUUCACGGACGAAGCACCCGAUCAUCUCCCACUUCCGCACUACUGCGUGAACGCCCUGGACACCGAAAACCACCAGCUCCUCGCCUCCUCCUCGGUGCUGUCGCUGCACUUCCGCUGAUGGCAAUGCAACACUUGCUCGGCUGCUCCCCGUGCCUUUGCGCCACCGAUGGUUUAUACUACUGUUGGGUACGGGAGGUACGCAGCCUUCGCCAGUGUCGGUGUGCCACCAACGACGAGCCAGUGCACCGACCUGGACGGAAGGCGGCUGUUCAGGCAGGUGGCGACAUUUAUCUCCACCGGCGCGACCUCCAGGGUUGUGCGGUGACAGCGCGAUCACUUCCGACCAGGAUGUUUUGCUUCCUUCCUCUAUCCGACUCAGACUCUUCUAUUGGCCAGGUCCGUCACAUAUUUGUUCUUGUUGUUCGUCUACAGGAAAGGGACAGGAGGGGGAUGACAGGAAGGGGCGUGAGAACACUUGUUUGUGGUUGCUUCUUGAUCUGGUAUGGAGAGAAAGAUAGAGAGAGAGGAUGGAUACUUGCAAAAGUGCCCAUCUAAUCCUAUUUUUGUCAGAGAUAGAUGGAUUUGACAUAAGCAAUACAAAAUCUCCACUCCUAAUUCUGCUGACCUUUCGACGAUGUGAACAUAUUUGGAGCGUGUUGUCCUGAUUUCACACCACCAUAUGUGUUCUACGCAGUAUGCACGGUGGAAAAGCUCACCUAUGAGCGAGGGAAAACAAAGGAUGGCGGUGGAAGUGAGGCGACAACAUCUGGCCGUGGAACUAGGAAAAGCCGGCAACACUGGUAUUAUGUCAGUACGUGGUGUUACGCUUAGCCGGCCAGUGUUCAAAUCUGCAAGUACCUGACGCCUUAUGCUACUAUGGCGAUUGUUCAACUACGUAGUUGCCAGCACUGCACGAAUUCAGAAAUGAAGUAUUCUGGUUUAACCAUCUGAGUUUUACAUUAUGUAUGUGUUGUGAGACCCAACACUGAUUUUGGGG